UGGGGAAUAUUGCACAAUGGGGGAAACCCUGAUGCAGCGACGCCGCGUGGGGGAUGAAGGCCUUCGGGUUGUAAACCCCUUUCAGUAAGGAACAAGGCCAUGAUUGUUGUUGUGGUUGAGGGUACUUGCAGAAGAAGCGCCGGCUAACUACGUGCCAGCAGCCGCGGUAAUACGUAGGGCGCAAGCGUUGUCCGGAAUUAUUGGGCGUAAAGAGCUCGUAGGCGGUUUGUCGCGUCUGUCGUGAAAUCCCGAUGCUUAACGUCGGGCUUGCGGUGGGUACGGGCAGGCUGGAGUGCGGUAGGGGUGACUGGAAUUCCUGGUGUAGCGGUGGAAUGCGCAGAUAUCAGGAGGAACACCGAUGGCGAAGGCAGGUCACUGGGCCGUUACUGACGCUGAGGAGCGAAAGCAUGGGGAGCGAACA
rnacentral:rRNA from 1 species